UACGAAGGGGGCUAGCGUUGUUCGGAAUUACUGGGCGUAAAGGGCGCGUAGGCUGUGCUGUAAGUCAGGCGUGAAAGGCCCGGGCUCAACCUGGGAAUGGCGCUUGAUACUGCGGCGCUGGAAGGUGGGAGAGGAUGGCGGAAUUCCCAGUGUAGAGGUGAAAUUCGUAGAUAUUGGGAAGAACACCGGUGGCGAAGGCGGCCAUCUGGCCCACAGUUUGACUGCG
rnacentral:rRNA from 1 species